GCAGCUGCAGCAGGAAGCGCCAGUCACAGGGUCGGGGAGGGGCCACUUUUCCCCAUGCUCCACACCAGUUCCUUCCCUGCCCUUCCCCCCACUUACCUGAGGUUCUGGCACUGGGGCAGCCACGUGGUCCCAGGCCAGAAGCCCCUGCUGGGGCUUCCGGCUGGAGGGGCAGGGCCAGGUGGACUCUGCUGUUGCAGGAGCCCACCAAGGAUUCCCCUGGGUCCUACUGCCCUUGGUUCCUGUCAUUUUUUACAAGAACCAAAGACAGAUAAAUUUAAAUUUAAAAAAAAAUUUUUAGGGGCCCCGCAGGCUGGAUAGAAUGGCCUUGUGGGCUGCAUCCGACCCGCGGGCUGUAUUUUGCCCACCCCUGUCUUAAGUCCAUCCCCCAGAUGUAGUCAAUCCUGACCUGGCCAAGAUUGCUCUGAGCUGUGUCACUCAUGCCCACAUGGAUGAGGAACAUGGGGUACACCCCAACAGAAAACCAUAGGGCCCAGGUCCACUGAGUGGGGCCUGAGAUAUGGCCAAGAUCCAACAGGUACCUGAGGCCAUAGGGGCAAGGAGCCCACAAUGAGAUGAGGGGCAAGGAUCCCAUAAGGACCAGAAACCCAGAAUGAGACCUAAGGGGCAUACAGCCCAGGAGCCCUAGUGAGGUGGCGGAGUAGAGGCCCCAGUGAGGGGGCGUAGUUGUGGCCCCAGAGAGAGGCAGGUGGCCAAGGUGCAUCUGAGAACACCUGAGGCCAGAUGUAGGCUGGAGGCUGAGUGCAGCCCAGCUAAAGGACUGAGGGAGUUGGAAGUGAUUUUUGGAUGCCAUCUGCGAGGCAUGGGACACAGUGUAUGGAUGGUUUGGAGCUGUGUAUUACACCCUUGGCAUUGGGACAUUAGAUGGGCAGCCUCCCACCUAUGGACAGCUCUUUAGUUCCAACAAAGGCGUGGCAGAAGAGUCAAGUGGGUAGACUGCCCUAGAUGGGUGAGCAGGCCAAUGUCAUGACUGGCCUUGUGAUGGCACCCUAUCACAGCCUGGCAGGUACCAUGGGGAUAGCUGUGAGCUGUGCCAUUCUGCUCUGCAUUCCUUCAUGAUGAGCACAAGAGACCAUGCAAUAUAGCAAAUCCUGCUUAAGAAUAAUUUCCCAUCUGCAGGCUCUUCUCCACUGAGCAGCAACCUCAGAACAGGCUCUGAAUGUGUUCUUGCAGGGGCCUAGUGUUUAGCAAAGCAGGGGAGGACCGUGGGGCUGCCAAAUUUCAUAUUUUGCCAUUGGUGCAAUAGUUCAGUCAAUCAGACUUAAUCUCACAACAGGCAGUAGGGCUCAUAGGUACAAGGCUGAUUUGCAUGCUGAGCACACACAGAGGUAGCAUGUAAGCAUUCAUCUUGCUGCUCCAGAGACAGAGAAAAAGACCUCUAGCUGUAAGAGCAUCUGUGCAAAAGUCUCUAUGGGCUCUGCUCUCUGAGUUAGGUUGCCUUUUUGUUAUUCCUCUUACCAUACUAUCAACAGACUUCAUAAUGAAAGCUGCCUCCAGGGUGGAAACCUUUCCACCUCUCUUUCUAAUUCUGACCUGAACUGCAGAAUUAUUAUUUUAUUUUAUUUUAUUUUAUUUUUACAUUGGAGGAUGCAAAAGUAGGCCAGGAAGUGAACAGUAAAGGUCCCACGUCUCCCUGAGACACCAGUCAUUCUUUGUGUGCCUUUGUCUGAAGCCAUUGCAAUAACAUGCCUGCAAAGGUGGUGGCCGAUUACAGACUAUGCUGUGCUGCUUUUAAACCUUUCGGCUCCAGGGGCUGGAAGAGUUGUGCGGGGUUGGUUUGUCAAUUCAGUCCAGUGCGUGGGGCCAGCCCAGCCAAGGCUUGAAUUGGCAUCUGCGGCUGGCCUGAUGCAUGGUCCCAGCCCCGGCCCUGCCACAGGCCACACCAUCUAGCCCGCAGGCCUUGGAAAUUUGGUGGUGGGGGAACAGUGGCAGUGGUAAUUGCUACUGCUCCCCAGCUGCCAAAUUUCUGGACAUGUGGGGAACCCUGCAGGCUGGAUGAUGUAACUCAGCGGGCUGGAUCUAGCCCACAGGCUGGACGUUGAGCACCGCUCUUCUGAACAUUAGGUUCCUAAUAUAACUAAUGAAAACUUCCUAUGAAACAACACAACAGUUUCCCAGCAGCUGAGAGGCAAAACCAGGUACCUGGUGCAUUGAUUUCUGAUUGCUGCCUUGACUGUACCCACUUUUUUUGCUCCCCUCUUCACCGACGCCAGCGCUCAGGGAGGUUGCCCCUGUUGGUCCUCCCUAGUUAGGCUAUUGCAGUUUCUUUAUUCCUCUGUAACCUCCAGGGUUUUCUGCAGCUCAGUUUGCCUGCUCAUGGUGCGAAUGCAGAAUGCAAAGAAACAAGUAAAACCCAUCAAUCACACUACAAAUUAGGUCACUGCUAAGAUCAGGAGCUAAUCCAUUAAUACUUGGCAAAGAAUGCUGCCAGGCAAAACAUGUCAGAGUUGAGUGGGCUAUAUUGUAAUAUGGCUUAACAGCAACGGCAUGAGGGACCUCGCAGCCAACACAAAGAGGGAGGAAGAAACAAAUUGAAGGCAGUAUGUGAAUCCACUCACAUGAUCCUAGGACCUAUUGCAAUCCUCCACCCAACUGUACAGACCGGAUAUACAUAACAUCACCUCGGUCCCAUGGCACAGAUCAUGGGACAAGUCCUGACUCCAAAUAUUUCCAGACUUCUGGGGAACCUUAAAUCUGAAUUCAGAUCUGGCUCCAAAGAGAGGGCCUCAAGCCAAGCUCUUUGUGACUGAUGAAGUACAGUGUACAAUGUAGCCAUACGUUGCUUAUUAAUAUGUCUGGAGCGAGUUUAAAUGUGGAGUUCGGUCUGAGUGCUGCCCUAGUGCAAGAAAUUAAAGGGUCUGGAAAUUUGAAUAUAUAUUUUAAUGGAAUAGCUUGGUUUCUAUAAAAUCAAGUCUCUGCUUUGCAAACCUGAUUUUUGUCCAAUUUGGGUUUUUCUUGUUUUCUUUUUUUUAAUUUUCCAGACAGGAAAUUAUCAUUAGGUCAGGGCAACCCACAUAGAUAGAGAAAUGUUGGUUGACAGAACUGAAUCAUUCCCUUCGGUCAUUUCAACAUUUGAAUUGCAUCCAUUGGGCUGCUGGCGUGUCUCAUGGGAGUAUUUCAGAGCCAGGCUAAUGCGCAUUAAUGCAUCUCAUGUAGACGUACCCGCAAAGAUCUAAUAAUAAGCUAACAACUGAACAGUUAAAGAUGUAUGUAGCUCUCCUAAACACAUCCAUCAUGCCACAUAUGUUUGCAAAGCAAAUUGAAAUGACACGGACACAAAAGGCUAGUGUUGAAUGGUGGAAAAAUAUGUUGUUUCAAAACAGAGCACUUCCUGGAAUCAUACAUGUUUCAUGUAACAAUUAAUGGAAAUCACUGUGGAAGUGGUAUGGCCAUGAAUUGUUUCAUUAUUUAUGAUGUCUGGGGUUAUGAAUUACAGACCCUGGAUGGGAAAGAAAGGGAGCAGAAUAAACUCAGCAGAAAAGAAUCCCAAACUAAGGAGAAAUAUGAAAUAACUCUAAUUUUUACUGCAUUAUCAGCAGAAUGAAGCAAAGAACAAGCAUGGCCAGAGGCUAGUGCACUGUGCAGAACAAGGUUUCAAGAAGCCAAAGGGACAUUUAACAACUUAGGACCCCACAGGAGAACUGCAAUGAAAAUUGAAAGGCAAGAAUGGCUUUGAUCAAAGGAAAACAGAGACCGCCUACAUGUGAAGAGUAGUCAUUGGGUUGAAUUCUGUUUUCAUUUACAUCCCAGCAACCCUACUAAAGGCUGAUGAGACAGAGUAAGACCCAGAUGUUCGCAGGCCAUUGACCCAGGCCAUAUAAAUAAGCCUUCCACAUAGAUGGGAAAUGGGUUUUGAUGCAAUACUGUAGGUCAAGAACCCUUUCCAGCUAUGAGAUGGAAUGACCAAACUAGGCUCAGAGACCUGUCUGCCAGCUAGGACCCAUCCACCGUUGCCACUGCCACUUCUUCCCAUCGUGCUAUGGGAGAAGACCCCCCACCACUGAAGUGCCAUGUUUAUGGGUUGGAUCCAAUAGUCCAGCCCAUGGGAUGUGAGUUGCCGACCCCUGCUGUAGGCUACUUUGUAGAUUCAUGGCUGUGAGGAAUUGCUGCGGCUCAGCGACUGCAUCUUCAAAGCCUGUUCCAUCGCGUCGCUCAGCGUAGGAGCCUGCUGAUGGAGGAGAGGGAGGUAUAGACUCCUGAGGGAUCAUCCAAUGUCAUGGCCAGCCUGGCUGGAAGCCGCAGAACGCCAAGAUAACAUCUGGGGAAAGGACUUCUCUUCUGCAGUGCUAACGAUGCAGCUAACAUGUAGCGUAACCUCCCCAAUACGCAGUGUACAUUUGUGGAAUCGGGUUACUCGAUGAUGAGAAUCUAUUGUUUUGUAGCAUAUAUGUUGUAGAGCAGCUCCCUCAUGAUGCUAGAGGUUGAUUUUCCUCCACGUUAAAAUAUGCAGCACAGUCAGGCGUAUGGUAUGUUUUCAUUGUCUUAAACCCUAAUAAAUACUGAGCAGGUUGCAAAGGAAAAAAAGCAGGUAUUUUUAGGAUGAAUGGGUCUAGCAGUGGAUCGAGGAACAGGGCGGGGGGUGCAGCCCCCCUCACAUACACUCUGGCUGUGCUGCAUAUGCACAGCGAGCUCCGGGCUUGCAGCCUGGUCAGUGCAGGCUUCUGCCAGAGCUCCAUGUGAGCCGUGCGCUCUGAGCUCACCGGCUGAUCAGCGCAGGGUCUGCCUGGAGCCCCUGCCUUCCCACAGCUCUGCAGCCCAGGGGGAGAAUGCUACUGCUAUUCGCCCUUUUCCCUCCUCCUCCUGGCCGCUGAAUUGGCAGCAGGGGAAAGGAGAGGAGUGGCAUGGUUUCUAAGUGUUGUCACCCUUUACCAAAUGAAAGCAAGGCCAGCUGUGUGUGUCAUGGGCCCUACAUGGCUAGUACACAUGAGAGAUUCGUGGUUCAUUCAAUGGCUGGGGUCUGAAUUUUUAUGGACCGUCAGCCCCGGUGUUUUAUCCUUGCCAUGACUUGACAUUGCCAGUGGGUGCAGCGUACAACAGCGUAACUAGCGGCUGUGUGCCGCUGUGGACAGCAUCGCCCUUGCUUGCUCUGAACUUGGGCCUCGGUGUUAAAGGACAAAUGCAGAGACCAAAAAAAAACGAACAAAAAAGAAGAUAAACAAAAAGACCAGGAGGUCCCUUCCACCAACACUGCAUUUUCCCACUAGAACGCACUGGAACCUAAUACUCCUGCCAUCUGCUUUCAGUCAAGGAGGCUUGCCCAUCUUGAUUUCCCAGAAUGCUCCCAGACGGUUGUGACACCCCUCGUUUGUAAUGCAGCUUGGUCGGAGAGAAUUGUGCAUGAUGAGAGAGGUUGCAAAGAGUCCAAACCCCAGGAGAGAACUGAAGGUUGAACUAAUUCCCCCGUCCUGUAAGGCAGCGUGAUCCCGUGGCAUGCAAAAUUUGGGGCUGAUUCAACCUGAAACAUCUUGAGUCAGUUUAACAAAACCCCAUCUUCUGAGCUGGGUCAACCUGACCUACAAUGAGCUCUCUGAGAUGACUUGACAGAACAAUUAUUUGUGACCAAAUCAAAAAAAAAUUCCCUUGGGAAAUACCAUCUUUUUAAAAAAAAAUUAGAAAAUCAUUCAAUAGAGAUUUUACAACAAGCUACCCCUGCCCACUAGCCAACUGUGGGGGGUGGAGGGGGUUGACUGGGGCACUAGCCCCAGACAUCAGUUUUGAGAGGGCAUAAUAGGGGCUGCCCCGCCAAACACCCCCCCCCCGCCCCCAGCUGCUACCACUACUGCAAUCGCCACUGCUACCCAAGACCCAGAACCAGGUUGUUAUGCCUCUGCCUCUUCUUCUCCCUAUGCCAGCCACAGGGAAACAAGGCUGGAAUCAGAGCAGGUUUGAGGAUCUCUUCCUGGAGGAAUCCCCUGUCCUGGGAUGAUCCUUGUGCCAUGGUUGCUGUCUAGUGCUUAGUUUUUACUACCUCCUUUACAAACCAAGCUAACCUAAAAAUGCCUGAGCCUAGUUCUCUGCCAGUGCAAACAGGCACAGCACUGUUGGCUUCAGCGGACUUGCACCAAUCUCCACCCGCAGGAAAUUUGGCCAUCGGAGUUCAGCAGGUUUCACCAUUUACCCAAAGGCAUGUGUGUUUUCUAGACACAUAAUUAAUUCUGCGGUGGGUCAGACACAGAACACCCAGUCUGCUCCACGAAACACUAACUAUUUGUAAGGCAUUUAACAUCCAGUCAGAUGUAAAUUCUCUUUUAAUAAAUCUGCGCUGUAAAAACA